GAUGAAGAACGUAGUGAAAUGCGAUAAGUAAUGUGAAUUGCAGAAUUCAGUGAAUCAUCGAAUCUUUGAACGCACCUUGCGCUCCCUGGUAUUCCGGGGAGCACGCCUGUUCGAGUGUCGCGAAAUUCUUCAAGCCUUGGAUGGAUUUUUUUUGUCUGUCCUUGGGCUUGGUUGUUGGGCUCUGCCGUGUCCUUCAUUGGGACGGCUGGCCUUAAAAGCAUUAGCCGAUCCUCGUGUGGUACUGGUUCUACUCAGCGUGAUAACAAUCUGAUCGUUGAGGACAUCUUCUGGAUGGCCAGUCAUCAUUUGGGUUGCUUCUAAACCGGUUUCGCAGAUUGCUCAAUCUGUGUGCCACUUUUCAGCUUUGACCUCGAAUCAGGUGGGACUACCCGCUGAACUUAAGCAUAUCAAUAAGCGGAGGA
rnacentral:misc_RNA from 1 species